UGGGGCUGGGGUAGUUUCUAGCCUCCUGCUCUCCCCACAGGCCUGGGGCCCUUGUUCCGGUCUCCGGUUAAUUGGCAGCUGCAUGAGGUGGCUGAGAAGUGGGGGCACCAUCCUGCACAGUUACAAACUUAAGGGUUUUUUUUCCUAAAAGGAGCUGCUAGCCGGGAUCCUGGCAUCCGGUCUCAUCGUGCGCCCCGAGUCCCUGCUGUGUAUGGUCUGAGUCUGGGGGGACGUGAGGGGCACUGUGCUGCGUGGGCAUCAGUUUCCAGGGGGCUGCAGCAGCAUUUCCGAUCGUCGGGAGUGUGGGAGCUCUGAAGGAAGGCGUGUCAGCAGGAAAAAAAUCAGACCGCAGAGAUGAUAAAGAACAACAACAAUAUAACACUGUUAUCAUUGCAACACGCCUUCAUUUUCACUCAUGCAUCUGCUCGCUCUGUGCAGGCCAACAGCUAUUUGUGCAUGCAAAUCCAAUAACCAACGAGCAAUGUGGAAAUGCAAAGCAAGUGUCUGCCCAUUCAUGCCAGCAACAGCAAAUGUGAACGUGUAAAAAGGGAGGCAAAAAUUGUUGGUGGAAAAUACAGGGCUGGUGCUACCAUUAAGGCAAACCAGGCGGUUGCCUAGGGUGCCAAGAUUUGGGGGCGCCAAAAAGUGGUGCCCCAAAUUUUUUUUACAGUGUUCCUACGCCCCCGCCCCGAGCGCGCGGUCGCCACUCCACUUCUCCCACCUCCCAGGCUUGCAGCGCCAA
rnacentral:lncRNA from 1 species